rnacentral:rRNA from 1 species
UGGGGAAUUUUGGACAAUGGGCGCAAGCCUGAUCCAGCCAUGCCGCGUGCGGAAGAAGGCCUUCGGGUUGUAAACCGCUUUUGUCAGGGAAGAAAUCUUCUGAGUUAAUACCUCGGGAGGAUGACGGUACCUGAAGAAUAAGCACCGGCUAACUACGUGCCAGCAGCCGCGGUAAUACGUAGGGUGCAAGCGUUAAUCGGAAUUACUGGGCGUAAAGCGUGCGCAGGCGGUUUUGUAAGACAGAGGUGAAAUCCCCGGGCUCAACCUGGGAACUGCCUUUGUGGACUGCAAGGCUUGAGUGCGGCAGAGGGGGGAUGGAAUUCCGCGUGUAGCAGUGAAAUGCGUAGAUGUGCGGAGGAACACCGAUGGCGAAAGCAAUCCCCCUGGGCCUGGCACUGACGCUCAUGCACGAAAGCGUGGGGAGCAAACAGAUUAGAUGCCCUGGUAGUCCACGCCCUAAAACGAUGUCAACUGGCUUGUUGGGAAGGUUCCUUCUCAGUAACGUAGCUAACGCGUGAA